AGAGUUUGAUCCUGGCUCAGGACGAACGCUGGCGGCGCGCUUAACACAUGCAAGUCGAGCGAGAACCAUGCCUUCGGGCAUGGGGACAGCGGCGAACGGGUGAGUAACACGUGGGUAAUCUGCCCUUGACAUCGGGAUAGCCCGGGGAAACCCGGAUUAAUACCGAAUAGCCUCCGAAGCCCUCGGGCGUCGGAGAAAAGGUAGCUUCGGCCUCUGGUCAAGGAUGAGCCCGCGGCGGAUUAGCUUGUUGGCGGGGUAACGGCCCACCAAGGCGACGAUCCGUAGCUGGUCUGAGAGGACGAUCAGCCACACUGGGACUGAGACACGGCCCAGACUCCUACGGGAGGCAGCAGUGGGGAAUCUUGCGCAAAUGCGGGAAACCGUGACGCAGCGACGCCGCGUGGGGGAAGAAGGCCUUCGGGUUGUAAACCUCUUUCAGGAGGGACGAAGCUACUCGGGUUAAUAGCCCAGAGGGUGAUGGUACCUCCAGAAGAAGCCCCGGCUAACUACGUGCCAGCCGCCGCGGUAAUUC
rnacentral:rRNA from 1 species